rnacentral:lncRNA from 1 species
ACUUUAUUAGGUAAAAUCAUUUUUGUUGAAAUUUUGUUGUCGACUAAUUUCUCACGUGUUUUUCACGUGCAAGCAAUUGAAAAAUUUAUUGUCAAAAAAAAAAAAAAGCAAUUGAAAAAUUUCGACAAGCAUGCGGGUAUCGAUCUCAUCUUCUGACUGUCAAACAAUCACCCGCUGGUCUUAAUCGAAGGGCGACGGAUGAAAGCCAAGCCGGGACCACAUACCAAUUAAUAUUUUGACAGGCAAUCAAAAAACAGACAAUUAAAUCAGAGAGGGGAUGUUGGUCCCCACACAGUGCAUACGCCUACGUGGCAGAAGAUCGCGCUCUUUGCAGAAAAGUCAUGGACUCAUGGGUUUUUUUAUUUUUUAAAGUGUGGAUAUAUUUUUUAACCAAACAGUUGUGGCUCAGCUAACAGCAUAAAUUGGGUAAGAAGAAAGAGUUAUCGGAUUCGAUUUUUAUUAAAUACAUAAUUUAAGAGAGAUAAAGAGUUUUAAUUGUGACUACAUCCUAAAUCCAGCGCUAGAAAUC